ensembl:miRNA Mir1843a microRNA 1843a
GAAUAUGGAGGUCUCUGUCUGACUUAGAAUAGCUGGCUGAGUCUGAUCGUUCCCCUCCAUACAAC